rnacentral:rRNA from 1 species
UACGAAGGGGGCUAGCGUUGCUCGGAAUCACUGGGCGUAAAGGGUGCGUAGGCGGGUUUUUAAGUCAGGGGUGAAAUCCUGGAGCUCAACUCCAGAACUGCCUUUGAUACUGAAGAUCUUGAGUCCGGGAGAGGUGAGUGGAACUGCGAGUGUAGAGGUGAAAUUCGUAGAUAUUCGCAAGAACACCAGUGGCGAAGGCGGCUACCUGGACCAGCAUUGACACUCAAGCACGAAAGCGUGGGGAGCAAACAGG